AUGGUUUAGAUUUACAAUUUGGUCCACUGGAAAAUGUUUUUUUAAAUUAAUUUUUCAUUUGUAAUUAAUUGCUAAUUUUAAUUGUUUGACCAAUGGAUGGCGCUACCAUCGUAUUCAAUAUUCAAACCUUAAAUUGGCGUAAACGUGCAUUAAACAAAACGAUGCCAAAGUAAAAGGCGACAUCUGUGGAUCAAGUUUUUAUAUUUUGGACAGAGUUGUUCGUUCUGGAGUAAUAAAUUGGGUGAUUCAAUACAUCUAUGGGUAGCUAUAACAUUUUUUUCAUACCUGCUAACUAUUGGAGGGGGUAUAUUGACAGGCAAUUUAAAAUUGCAAAAGGUCUGGCAUAAAAAAAUAGCGGCAUAACUGAAGUGUUGAUAAAAAAUUUGAGAUAUACAGAAAUCUUUUCGAAGCAUUGCACAGAGCAAUGCAAUACUUAUUUAAACGGGAACGAUGAAUACAUAUGUAUAUGCGUACAAUUUCAAACUGAUCCUUCCUGAAAAAUAAUAAAAUUGCUAAAUAUUGGGAAUGGUAGAAUAGAACUGCAAUCAAAUACACAAUGCAAUGAAUUUAAACUGGCUCAUUUAUCAUUCGAUGAAUAAUAUACUACGGGCAUCCCAAAAGACUGAUGCCAUAACCUUGCCAGCCGAUUUUUUUGUCUUUCCACGCUUGAGAACCGUUUCUUAAUAUGCAGUCCACCAGGCUGACAAUCGAUUGGACUCGAUUGAUUUCACUGACGCAAAGCCCGAAUUCAAUAGUAUUUUUACCCCAAAAACCAAUUCUUUCUUAACGCACGAAAUGCUUUUUGAUUCAUUUUUGUUGCUUCAUCAAAAAUCCGAUUAUUCCUGAACUAAUACUUAUAAUCUAACUAAUAGAAAUCAUAUAGAUGAUAUUAGUAGUACUAUCUAUGUAUGUAUCAGCCACAGUAAAACGUAAGCGGGUCCUCUAGUUUUAUUAUAAAAGUGUUCGUAAAAAUAAUUAAAUUUUCAGUGUAAAUAUUUUAAUAAAUAUUUUAAUAAGGCAAUAGAAUAUUGAUUGGAACUUUUUUUAGGUAAAACAGUAUUUAUUUUCAGUUUAGGUUGGUAAAAAACAGGUACGCAAUUUCGUGUUAUUACCGUUUCUAUUCGUUUGCAAAAUAAUAAUAUUUUCAUAUACGUAUUUUACUUUAGUUCUAGGUAUCAAAAAAUCCACACUUUUAAUUUAUUGACCUUCUACGUCCUAACGUAAGUACUUGAAUACACCCUAAUACGUGGACUUGUCUGUACUGUAUGUACUUGUGUUUUGUGCAAUUGAGAACUCAUUGAAGAGACCAACGCGCUUUUUGUAUGCAAUCCUGCUUGUUUUUGUUUGCCAAAGAGCAAGGGGUAUUGCCGGAUAGUUGCCAAAAUGGACUUUGAAUACGUGCGUUCACAGUUUUGUUUACCAGCGAUUUGAUUAUUGUUUUUAAUUAAAAUUAAGAAAUUUUUUUUUCACUUUACCGCUGUAUCGUAAGUGAAUUUUACAAUUACUUUGAUUUUUUUUAUGUACAUCUUUAUACAUAUAUAUGUAUAUAAAUCUUCUGACCAUGUGUUUGCAUUUGAACUGCUCCUAAACGGAUGGACAGAUUUUGAUGAAAUUUUGUGUGUAUGUUCAAGGAGAUUCGAGAAUGGUUUAGAUUUACAAUUUGGUCCACUGGAAAAUGUUUUUUUAAAUUAAUUUUUCAUUUGUAAUUAAUUGCUAAUUUUAAUUGUUUGACCAAUGGAUGGCGCUACCAUCGCAGUAUUCAAUAUUCAAACCUUAAAUUGGCGUAAACGUGCAUUAAACAAAACGAUCCCAAAGUAAAAGGCGACAUAUUGUGGACAGAGUUGUUCGUUCUUAAGUAAUAAAUUGGGUCAUUCAAUACAUCUAUGGGUAGCUAUAAUAUUUUUUUCAUACCUGCUAACUAUUGGAGGGGGUAUCUUGACAGGCAAUUUACAAUUGCAAAAGGUCUGGCAUAAAAAAUAGCGGCAUAACUGAAAUGUUGAUAAAAAGGUCUAUUAAAAUUUGAGAUAUACAGAAAUCUUUUCGAAGCAUUGCACAGAGCAAUGCAAUAUUUAAACGGGAACGAUGAAUACAUAUAUGCGUACAAUUUCAAACUGAUCCUUCCUGAAAAAUAUUAAAAUUGCUAAAUAUUAGGAAUGGUAGAAUAGAACUGCAAUCAAACACACAAUGCAAUGAAUUAAAACUGGCUCAUUUAUCAUUCGAUGAAUAAUAUACCAUGGGCAUCACAAAACACUGAUGUCAUAACCUUGCCAGCCGAUUUUUUUGUCUUUUCACGCUUGAGAACCGUUUCUUAAUAUGCAGUCCACUAGGCUGACAAUCGAUUGCACUCGAUUGAUUUCACUGAUGCACAGCCCAAAUUCAAUAGUACUUUUACCCCAAAAACCAAUUCUUUCUUAACGCACGCAAUUCUUUAUGAUUAAUUGUUUUGUAAACUAACACAAGUUGCUUCACCAAAAAUGCGAUUAUUCCUUAAAUAAUAUUUAUAAUCUGACUAAUAGAAAUCAUAUAGAUGGUAUUAGUAGUACUACCUAUGUAACAGCCACAGUAAAACUUGGGCGGGUCCUCUAGUGUAUGUAUAUAUUUUUGGAAAACAAGGAAAUGUGUUUGCAUUAAGUAUAUAUGCAUAUAUGUACACCCAACUUUUUCUUUACACGGUAGAUACUUUCCUCAUAAAAGAGGCGUUUCGUAUAGUAAACGACGUUCCAUGCCGUGUACUAUAUAAAAGAAACUAUAUUUACUUCGAGAAACCGUGCAAAAAAUGUUGAAAACUAUAAAAUUUCAAAUGUGCAUACAAAUUGUAUGUUCUUAUGGGAUUUUAUUGAGCAUUAAAACUUAAAAUACAUAAUUCAUAAAGGUGAAAAAUUUGUCGAUUAAGCAAAAAACAAAAGAAGUCUGUUAAUCCAGAAUUAAGAACAGAAGAAUUAAAAUGGAAAUGAAAAAAUAUUUACAUAGCUACAUAAUUAUAAAAACAAACAUAACUACAAGACAUUGAUUUUGAAACCAUAUUAGAUUACAUAUUUUUUACAAAUUUUUUUUUUCAACCGUGUAAAAAAAAACCUGUAAAAUGUAAUAAUAACAAUAGCAAUUGUUUGCGACGAACUGGACUAAAAUCGGAAUCAUCGUUGGAGAUAUCCAUUUCAGCAAUGUACACUGACCAAAGUUUUGGCACGGUGGGUUUUGGUUUCUUGAGUUCUCCAUAGAUCCGUUAAUAUAAAAGGAAGGUUCAAAUAAUGUACUAGUUAUUUACUCAUCUUUAUGUUAUCUAUCACUGUGCUUAAUUUCAUUUAUGUGCCACCAACAGCCUCGGAUGAGAGACCCCCCUUUUGAUGACGACAGUGGCAAACGAAUUAAGGACUAUGAUUUGAGGGCAUGCACCUGGAAUGUCCGGUCCCUUAAUUGGGAAGGUGCCGCUGCCCAGCUGGUAGAUGUCGUCGUAAAGAUAAAAGCUGACAUCACCGCCGUCCAAGAAAUGCGAUGGACGGGACAAGGAUAGAGACGAGUAGGUCCUUGUGACAUUUACUACAGUGGCCAUAUAAAGGACCGCAAGUUUGGUGUUGGAUUCGUGGUGGGAGAGAGAGACUCCGUCGCCGAGUACUAUCAUUUACUCCGGAGAAUGAACGUCGAGCCACAAUCCGCAUCAAAGCGAGGUUCUUCAACAUAUCGCUGAUUUGCGCCCACGCCCCGACGGAAGAGAAGGACGAUGUGACCAAAGAUGCCUUUUAUGAGUGCUUGGAGCGCACUUAUGAGAGAUGCCCCGCCACGAUGUCAAAAUCGUGCUUGGCAAAUUCAACGCCAGGGUGGGCAAAGAAGGUAUCUUUGGCACUACGGUCGGUAAAUUCAGCCUCCACGACGAAACAUUCCCAAAUGGGUUGAGGCUGAUCGACUUCGCCGGGACCCGAAAUAUGGAUCUGUAGUACUAGAUUCCAGCACAAGAAAAUGCAUCAAGCUACCUGGCUGUCUCCGGAUCGAAAAACAACCAACCAGAUCGAUCAUGUUGUGAUAGACGGAAGACACGUCUCCAGUGUUUUAGAUGUGCGUGCGCUCCGAGGUCCUAACAUCGACUCGGACCACUAUAUUGUUGCAGUCAAAAUUCGCACCCGCCUCUGUGCAGCAAAAAACGCACGCCAACAAACACGAGGAAGGUUCGACGUCGAGAAGCUGCAAUCAGAACAGACAGCUGAACGAUUUUCUACUCGGCUUGCACUCCUGCUCUCUGAGAGCACUCGUCAACAACUCGGUAUAAGGGAACUGUGGGACGGCAUUUCAAACUCCUUACGUACAGCUGCAACCGAAACCAUUGGUUUUCGGAAAGUGCAAAAGAACAGCUGGUACGACGAGGAGUGCCGUGUCGCAGCGGAGAGAAAACAGGCUGCCUACCUCGCAACGUUACGAUCGACCACAAACGUGCGGGAUGGAAUGGAUACCGAGAGUUGAAGAGGGAAGCGAGACGCAUUUGUAGACAGAAAAAGAAAGAGGCCGAAAUGCGUGAGAACGAAAAGCUUGAUAAAUUACUUAAAUUAUGGGGGGAAAACUUCUCCAGCCUGCUGAAUGGCAGUGAACGCACAACACCAGGAGAAGGCGAACCGAUACCCCAUGCGAUGACGAUGGAGCAGACGUUCCAUUGCCCGACCAUGAAGAAGUUCGAAUAGCAAUUGCCCGCCUGAAAAACAACAAAGCGGCAGGGGCCGAUGGAUUGCCGGCCGAGCUAUUCAAACAUGCAUCAGCUUCUUUGCAAAAUAUGGUCGGACGAAAGUAUGCCCAACGAUUGGAAUUUAAGCGUGCUAUGCCCAAUCCAUAAAAAAGGAGGCCCCAUAAUCUGCGCUAACUACCGUGGGAUAAGCCUCCUCAACAUCGCGUACAAGGUUCUAUCGAACGUAUUGUGUGAAAGAUUAAAGCCCACCGUCAACAAACUUAUUGGACCUUAUCAGUGUGGCUUCAGACCUGGUAAAUCAACAACGACUCCCUAUCGUGCGACUUCUUCAAUCUGCUGCUGGAGAAAAUUAUUCGAGCUGCAGAACUUAAUCGAGCAGGUACAAUCUUUUAUAAGAGUGUACAGCUGCUGGCGUAUGCCGAUGAUAUUGAUAUCAUCGGCCACAACACCCCCGUCGUUGUGAAAGCAACGCAAAUGGGUCUGGCAGUGAACGAGGGCAAGACGAAAUAUCUCCUGUCAUCAAACAAACAGUCCUCGCACUCGCGACUUGGCUCCCACGUCACUGUUGACAGUCAUAACUUUGAAGUUGUAGAUAAUUUCGUCUAUCUUGGAACCAGCGUAAACACCACCAACAAUGUCAGCCUGGAAAUCCAACGCAGGAUAAAUCUUGCCAACACGUGCUACUUCGGACUGAGUAGGUAAUUGAAAAGUAAAGUCCUCUCUCGACGAACAAAAGCCAAACUCAUAAUUCCCGUCCUGCUAUAUGGUGCAGAGGCUUGGACGAUGACAAAAUCUGAUGAGUCGACGUUGCGAAAGAUUUAUGGUCCUUUGCGCGUUGGCCACGGCGAAUAUCGCAUUCGAUGGAACGAUGAGCUGUACGAGAUAUGCGACGACAUUGACAUAGUUCAGAGAAUUAAAAGACAUCGGCUACGCUGGCUAGGUCAUGUUGUCCGGAUGGAUGAAAACACUCCAGCUCUGAAAGUAUUCGACGCAGUACCCGCCGCGGGAAGCAGAGGAAGAGGAAGACCUCCACUCCGUUGGAAGGACCAAGUGGAGAAGGACCUGGCCUCGCUUGGAGUAUCCAAUUGGCGCCAUGUAGCGAAGAGAAGAACCGACUAGCGCGCUGUUGUUGACUCGGCUAUAAUCGCGUAAGCAGUGUCUACGCCAGUAAAGAAGAAGAAGAAGAAUGCUUGUGGUUGUUUUGUUACAAUAAUUUAAAUAAAAAAUGAAUAUAUUUCAGAGGACAAAAGUUUUGGCACUGCUAGAAUUCUCGGAAAUAAUUCCAUUGAUUUUGCUUAAAAAAGAAAAAACUGAUAACAACAAGAGACCGCAUGAUGGUGUACCACAUAAUAGAAACCGUUAACUUUUUAAGUGAAAUAUAGUAUUGUGUAGCGUGCAUAAAUUACUACAAUUCAGUAAAAUGAGUGGCAGGCGAGCGGAAAUGACAGCAGAGGAGAGAAAAAUUAUUUGAAAUCUUCAAUCCGCCAACAAAGGCUAUGCAGAAAUUGGUGAAAUAAUGAAGUUAACUCGUUUUUCCAUUCGGAGCAUAAUCAAGCGUUUUAAAGAUGCCCGUUGUCUCCAGAGUUGCGAUCGUUCAGGGCGUCCACGCAAAUUUUGUUGUAGAGAGGAGGCAUUUGUGGUACGUCAAAUAAAAAAAAAAUCCCAAACUGACUUCAAUAAAGAUUGCUGCUGACCUCCAGAAAGAAUUUAAUAACGUGUACAAAUCCAGAAUAGCUCAAAAAAACCACUAUCAGCAAGGCUAACAAAAAAGCGUUUACAAUUUGUUAAAGAGUAUAAAAUAAAAAAACUGGAUUUCUGAUACAAAAUUAUUGUUCACAGACGAAAGUAAAUUUAACAUUUCCAAAGCGACGGUCGGAUACGGGUAUGGCUAAAGGGAAAUACUGCAUUUGACAAAAGCAAUGUUGGUAAUACCGUAAAGCAUGGAGGUGGAGGAGUCAUGGUUUGGAGAUGUAUGGCAGCGUCAGGCGUUGGGAACGUAGUAUUUGUUGAUGGAGUAAUGGAAAAACUUUAUAUAUGAACAUAUUGAAAGAAAAUUUGCAAGAAAGUGUAGAAAAGCUGAAUCUUGGGAAUCAGUUCUAUUUUCAGCAAGAUAAUAAUCCCAAACAUACAGCUUAUGAUGUUCGUAUGUGGAUCAUUCAUCACGUUCCCCACGUUCUUGCAACUACUCCUCAAUCACCGGACUUAAAUCCAAUUGAGUAUUUAUGGGAUGAACUUGGACGAAGGGUUGAGAAGAAUACAGUAACAAGUAAAAGCCAAUUAAAAGAGGUACUGCAGCACGAAUGGACUAACAUUGGAUCUGAGGUGACAAGUAAAUUGGUUCACUCCAUGCCAAAUCGUUGAAAGGACGUUAUUAAAAUGAGAGGUUUGAAUACCCGUUAUUAAAUUAGCAUUUUUUCCCAUGUUUUAAUAUAAACAAGGUCUGUCGCAAAAGAAACAGGACUGUUAAAAAACAACAAAAAAUUAAUAUUUUUCAAAAGUUAUAUUUUUUUAUUCAAAGUAGUUUCCUUGUGCUUCGAUACAGCGUUUAGCCCGGUCAAUUAGCAUUUGAAAUCAGUGUUUAAGGUCAUUUUUCGGAAUGCUCUUGAGAAUAUCGGUGGUCGCCUUUUGGAUAGCUGAAAUGUCCUGAAACCAGUGUCCUUUCAUGGGCAAAUAAAGUUUUCCAAAUAGGUAAAAAUCACAGGGUGCCAGAUCAGGUGAGUAGGGUGAGUGAUUAAUGGUUAAUAUGGAGUUUCCUUUUGUCAAAAAUCAGUGACAAGCGUCGACUGAUGACACGGCGCAUUAUCGUGCAACAGGCGCCAGGACCCUGCCUCACGGUAUUGUGGUCGAGCACGACGAAUGCAUGACAAAAGACGCUUCAUAACACCAAGGUAAAACACAGCAUUAAUCGUUUGGCCAGGUGGGACGAACUCUCGGUGUACAAUACCCUCGGAAUCGUAAAAACAAAUCAGCAUUGUUUUUAUUUUUGGCUUCUGAAGCCGACUUUUUUCGGUGAUGGCUUUCGUCCUCUCUCUCUGGGAAUCGCUUAAACCACUCAUGCACAUUACUACGGGAUAGGCACUGAUCACCAUAAACUUUUUUCAGCAUUUGAAAUGUUUCAGUAAACGUUUUCCCAAGUUUAAAACAAAAUUUAAUAUUUGCUCUUUGUUCUUUAUUGUAACAAAACAACCAUAGAUACAUCAUAAAUGAAAUCAAGUGUAGUGAUAGAUAACAUAAAGGCGAGUAUAUUAUUACUACAAUAUUUGAACCUACCUUUUAAAUUUACGGAACUACAGAGCACUGAAGAAACCAGUAUCAGCUGUGCCAAAACUUUUGUCCGUCAGUGUAAAUAUCAUGCGAACAAAAUGUGUAUGUAGCGUAGACACCGCUUACGCGAUUAUAGCCGAGUCGACAACAGCGGCUGAUUGUUGGUUUUCAUUGGGGGUGUUUUUUUACGUGGCGGGUCCCAAACCCAGCGCAACAUGGCGGGUCCCAAACCCAACGCAAAGUUACAGUUACUGUAUGUUCAUUUCAGCAAUGGUGGUAGGUAUGUAAGAACAAACAUAAUUACAAGACAGUGAUUUUGAAACCCGACUAGAUUAAAUUUUUUUUACAAAAAAUUUUUUUUUUCAAGCAUGUAAAAAAAUAGUUGGUUGUAUAUUUUGUUUGCUUUUAAAAAUAUAAUUCCAAUACUUCUUUUCUCAAACUUUGUAUGCAGUCCUGGUUAAGGUAGGCUAUCAAAAUUAAUUUAUUUAGGUAUGUAUGGCAUACACAUAUGUACAUAUACAUAUGCAUGUGUCGGAGUAAAGUUGUCUUCGAUAGACAUUGUUGUAGCACAGCGAGUUCUGCGUCGUUUUCUUCUUUUUGUGCUUACCACCGAACCACACUUAACGAUAGCGACGCCACGCUGUCGUCCCGCUAAAACGGUACUUCUUGAAGUGACAACAUGCAGACAACCAAUCACAGCACAAUCAACGACUGAUGCAAUAAUAAGGAACUUAGUCUUCUAAUGAAAUUCCUAAAACUGUAUACCCAUACACUCAUACACGCACAUCAACAUCCACACACUAUUAGGGUGCGCCCACACGGCCAUCCUGACCAUUACACGACUUCGUGCAAUUUUACCAAAAAUGCUAUGUUACUAUUCAAUCAACUUAUAAAAGUUUAUUCAAAUGUAACUUCCAAUUUUUCAUCUAAUCUUAUAAUUUGCAUUGACAAAUUACAUCUUCAUAUUUCUGUUUCCUUCUUAAGUAAUACAAAAUAUUUUUCUUUAACACAGCUCAUUUUCACAUUAUCAUUAACCACACAUGUUUUACAUUAUAAUAUCCAAUGCGCUGUACACCAUGAUCAAAACAAUUGUUUUGCACUUGUGCCCACAUUAUUAUUACUAACAUCAUUUUAAGCCCUUAAGGCAACUGUACUGUCUUUUUGAACUUUCAACUUUCUUUAUUACUGUCUCUUUCAACAGUUUCUUUCAACUUCUACAUUACUGUCACAUAAUCAAUUCAUUACUGAAUCAAAUGCGCCACACGCCAUGAUCAAAACAGCCACACGCCAUGAUCAAAACAACCAUUAGUAGCACUUGUGCUUACAUUAUGAUCUGAGUACUCCGCCAUUUUCUUUGGCUACAGCCAUUCAUAUAUUUUGUCAUUUUUAUUCGUUCACUUCACUCUCAUUAGUGAUUUCAACAUUCUCAACAUCUUCAUUCUCAUUUUCUUCAGUAACUUCAACACCCUCAAUACUUUCAUUUUCGUCUCUUCACCGCACCGCAACGGAUUCUCUACUUGCAACACCAUCCUCAUCAUCAUCAUCAUACACAUUCAGUUUCUCGGGCACUUGUGCCUCUAGCAACCUUCUCAAAUCUUCGCGUGCAUAUCCACAACUUAUCCCAUUGGUCAAGGAUUCCGAAAUGUACAUGCCACUUUCUGAAACCUUUACUAUUUCAAAAGACCCCUUGAAUUUCAGACUUAACUUGGUCUGAUGUCUUUCUUCACCUUCAAACAACACAAAAUCUCCAACUUUAUAUCCAACUACUUUUGUCUUACCUUUACCAAACCGCCUUUCAACACAAACUGCAGUGGCUAAAGCAUUCUUUGCAGCUUGCACUCCCACGUUUGGCAGAUCAACAACAUUUUCUAUGUCGCCAUUCGGAAGCAAUCCUAAUGGACGUGCCACCUUUUCCAAUAACAUUUCUAAAGGUUUCGCCCUCGCAAUACGGUUGGUUGUACAAUUGAUUGCCAACCGCACCUCUCCCAACACAUCCCGCCAAGACCGUGCUCCAGUUUCAGCCGCCAUUAGCAUAUCCCCCAACGUGUUCAAGACUGUAAUUAAUAUUGAACUGGGAGAACUUAGAACCGCACUGGCCAACGUGCUACACUGAGUGAUUAUCACUGUUUUAUCAUUCAUUCACUUGUCUUUUAUAGAACACUUUUAUUGCACUUUUAUUAAGCUUUUUCUAUGCCAACACACAUCAUUUAUUGAACCACUUUAUUUCCUCUUUAUUUUACUUAACCUACUCUUUUCUCACAUAUUUUAUAACUUUCUACACCUUCGCCGUGAGCGCUUUCUUUUUCACUUUGCAUGAACUUUAAAAUAUUAUUUACCGCAUAACUAUUUCACUGUUAAUACUCGAAGCAGUUUCACUCUAUCACCCGUCCGUCUGUCCAACCACACACUUCUCACAAAUGCAACUCUGACAAAAGUAACCACACACAUUACCUUUUCCAAAUUACCUUUCAAUGCACAACCAAAACAACACUAUUUGCAUGAUCGCAUCGCAAGACAGCUCCGGCAUUUUCUCAACUCGCUCCAAUUACUUGCAACAAGCCAUCUUGAAACGCUUCCAUCUGCAUCGUGUAUCUCUUUACAUUUCAGUGCCCUUCAAUACACCCUCCUACAAAACAACCUCAACAGUAGUACACCACGACGAAGCGCUGGCGCCUGCUUUGUCUGGGCCGACUUUGGGAUGUUGCACAGACCUGCUCCGCCCCGCAUCAGGCACAGCCAGAUCCAUGGCCCGCACAAGUUCAAUCAAUUUUCCACUCUGCAACUCCAUCAUUGGUACGCCAUGGUCCAUCCAAUGUUUGAGGCAGAUAGGCAGAUUCCACUUCUGAUGUCGGAGUAAAGUUGUCUUCGAUAAACUUUGUUGUAGCGCAGCGAGUUUCGGUUGCUUACGUUUUGCUUAGUUCUAUACUCAACUGAUUUUGCGACGUUUUCUUCUUUUUGUGCUUACCACCGAACCACACUCGACGAUAGCGACGCCACGCUGUCGCCUCGCUAAAACGGUACUUCUUGAAGUGACAACAUGCAGACAACCAAUCACAGCAUAAUCAACGGCUGAUGCAAUUAUAAGGACCUUAGUCUUGUAAUGAAAUUCCAAAAACUGUAUACCCAUACACUCAUACACGCGCACCAACAUCCACACACUAUUAGGGUGCGCGGACACAUGUAUAAUAUAAUACUUGUUUCAAUAAUGAUUCUAUUUUUUGUAAUACAACCGUGGAAUAUUAAAGUUUGGGUAUUUUUCCAAAACCGUAACAUAAAAACUACGUACAUACUCGUAGGUGCAUAUAUAUAAAAUUAUUACUAUCAUUUUGAUAUUUGGGUCUCAGUAUGGUUAUUAUAAAUGCUGAUGAUUCGCUGACAGCUUUCCAUUUAUCAGACAACUGACACAUGAGUGUCGUUAAAUUAUCGAAAGUAAAACUACCACUGUACAAGAAUUGUAUUAAAAAAGCACGUCUGUAUUUUAUAAUCGUCUAUCACUAAAUAGGCCGCUUCUUUAUUGAAUACCUCCUUAAAUAUACAUUUGGUUAACGGAUUGUAGCAUCACGCCAUAUGAUACAUAUGUGCAUACAUAUAUAUGAAUGUCUAUAGUUUACAUAUUUGAUUUACAUUUACAUUCGCUAAGCUAGAGUGAAACUGCUAGUCUACGAAUACAAGGAAUAAAAGGAGGACACAAUCAUAUUGAUCAUUCAGCAUUCAGCAAUCAGCUGACUGGUAUCGGUUUGCGUCCUUACUAAUUAUGCGCAGGACUGCAUUUUACUGAACUUAAAUCUUGAACAACCACCAAAUGUGAUUUUUAGUUUUUCCCCUGUAUUCGAAAAUCGAGGGCAAUAAAAUAAUACAUAUUCAGAGUCUUAUAUAUACUCUGUACACGUCGGACAGUUCGGACUAGCUUCUAAAGCACACAUGUCCACUAAGUAUUUGGGUCAGAUUAAUCUUGGUGUCCAUGUCGUCUGGCUAUCCACAAGUGGAUGUCCGGUAUAAGUCGAUGGGUCCAGCGCCCUUUGGAUGAGGUAUUCCACCGCUCCUGCCACAUUUUAGUGCUCUUGUUUCCCUCCUCUGUCCUUGCCGAUACUGUUUUGGGCACUGAUUUGUGAUAAAAAUGCUCGAGUUCAUCUCCUUGGAUGUUAAUGGGUGGCAUGCUGGCUAAUAUUUUAGCAGCGUCGGUUGAUAUAGUCUGGAAAACACUUAUUACCCGAAUUGUAGAAAGCCUAUGCGCUGCAAUUAUUUGUUUAGCAAACGCUUUUAUAUCCACUGCCUGUACCCAUAAUAGUGCCGCAUACAGUAUUACGGAACUCAUUGCUUUCGCUAUUAAGAAUCGUUGGCUGGAACGCACACAGCCUCUGUGGGUCAUAAUUCUCGAUAAGACAUAGAUUUUGUUUGCUUAGCCGGAAGAAUACUCCAGGAGUUCUUUUAAUUUUAAUGUGGAAUCCAAUAUUACUCCCAGAUACUUCAGAUGCGGCUGUGAUGUAAUCUCGUA